rnacentral:rRNA from 1 species
UACGAAGGGUGCAAGCGUUAAUCGGAAUUACUGGGCGUAAAGGGUGCGUAGGCGGUUCGUUAAGUCUGUCGUGAAAUCCCCGGGCUCAACCUGGGAAUGGCGAUGGAUACUGGCGAGCUAGAGUGUGUCAGAGGAUGGUGGAAUUCCCGGUGUAGCGGUGAAAUGCGUAGAUAUCGGGAGGAACAUCAGUGGCGAAGGCGGCCUUCUGGUCCAGUACUGACACUCAAGUGCGAAAGCGUGGGGAGCAAACAGG